rnacentral:tRNA from 4 species
AGGGGUUUAGCUCAGUUGGUAGAGCAUCGGUCUCCAAAACCGAGGGUCAAGAGUUCGAGUCUCUUAGCCCCUGCCA